rnacentral:lncRNA from 1 species
CCUGCACCUGACACCCAGUGCCCUGGGUGUGAAGACAGAGGAAGAGCUGCAGUGCAUACCUUAGCCAAGCCUUCACUCUCUAUGGCCUGGGAAGAGGGAAAGAGGGAAGCUUCCCUGUAAGGCACAGACAUAGAGUUACAGACAGCAUAACCUUGAGGCUCAGGUCCAGCCAGCAGACCCAAGAGGACCUCUGAGGCUAUCUGCUGCUGACAAUCCAGACUGGGGAAGGCACUUGCCCAACAGCAUACAGCAUUUCAGUAACAGAUCUGAGACCUCAACUUCUUCCUUAGACCAAACACUGGAAUACUGGGAAUAUGGUAGACAUAUUGGGCUGAAUGGAGAGGAAGUCAUAGGAGGAGGGGUGAAGGCAGAGGAACUCUGUCCUUCUCAUAAGGACUCCCAUACUCUUCUGGUGUGACAACUUCAUCUAAGGAGCCUACUCCUGGUCUCUCUGGUCUUCUGCUGUCCCUGGUAUCCACUUCCUUUGCAAGGAGGGUGGGGAUUUGGAGAGAGUCCAGAGCCUUGUGGAAGGACAUGGCUGAGACUACAGCCUCUGCUUUCAGAUACAACCUUGGGGAGAUGGACCAGGGAGGAAGGAGUGAUCAUCAGUAAGGUCCAGAGACAAGAAAGUUCUGCAGCUCUAGAAAUGGCAUUGCCUUUGUGAGGAAUGCUCCAUGAAGGUGUGGACAUCACUUAGGCUGGGCCAUAUUGCACCCUGCAUGGGCUGCUGUCAAUCAAGAGACCCACCAGACUAACUGCCCACUGGUCAAAGAUUCCUACUGAAUGGGCAAAAGGAAAUAGGUUGAAUGGUCAGCUGUGAAAAACAAGGUUGCUGGCUGAAGCCGAUUCUGACACCCUGGGGUGUGAUGUUGUCCAAAAAAACUAAUCUUAAAAGAAUUUUUAGUGAGUUGGAGAUAUGCUCACAACAUAACAUUUCCCAGAACAAGAAAGGAUGCACUACAAGAGCCAGGUCAAGGGGUGUUCGUGAAACAGCGUCCGAGUCCACCAACAUGUUAGCAGGGUUUAAAUCUGGAUCAUAGGUUUGUCGGAGACUUUUAUCCCCUUCCUUAUUCUUCUGUUUUCUCUUCAGUAAACAAUAUUACAUAUAUUGCACACAAUAAAAAUAUUAUAAGAAACAGUAUUACUUUUAUAAUAAGAAAAAGAAGCUCAUAAAAGUUUACAAAAGGAAUAAGGCACCAUGUAAUUUUAGGUGACACAGUCCCUUUUUUCCAUGGUGGCUUUUCUUAUAGCAGUCAAAACCCAGACUGCCUGAUUCAGAGCCUUUUUCUUUCUAAACCCACUCUGCCUUGGUGGUGUGCUGGGGUUGUUUCUACAUGUGCAGUAGAGUUAAAGGUGUGCUGGCUGGGAGAGGAAAAGCACAGUGGAAAGAUGAGGGAGUGAUGAGAGGAGAUUGCACCCACAAUUCCCUCAUGGCAAUUUAAGUUACCCCCCAACUAAGCAUGGUGCUGUUCUCUAUAGAAAUUUGGGAGGAGCCACAGUAAUCUAUUCACUUCAUGACAUCACCUCCCUGGAAAGCAUGCACUUGUGGCUGUUGGGGAAAAUUAAGAGAACAAUGUGGCCAGAACAUAGCUCCACACUAACUGUCCAUGGAGUGAACUAAUCAUUAUAGAAAAUGAAAUGCAGUAUUGCUUCCACUGGACAUGACAUGGUCAUUGCACACAUGAAAUCAUAGCAAGUGUAGUUGCCUGCACAAAAGACUGUGACUGUGAAUAUUUCAUCAUGACCAGGGAGGAGACACUGUUAGUUAAUGGUUAUAGGUGGAGGGGAGUCAUCUUCUCCAGUGGCGUAGCUAUAGUCAGCUGCCUAUACUCUGGUAAAUAAUGCCUCCACCCAUGCUAAGGUAAGCAAUCCUCAUUAAACUUGAUGGGACAUGCACA